AUGGGCUCCAGGCUCCUCUGCUGUGUGGCUCUUUGUCUCCUGGGAGCAGGCCCAGUGGAUUCUGGAGUCAUCCAAACCCCAAGACACCUGAUCAAAGCAAAAGGACAGCAAAUGACACUGAGAUGUUCCCCUAUAUCUACAUAUCCCUAUGUGUACUGGUACCAACAGGUUCUUGGCCAGGGACCCUGGUUCCUCAUUCAGUAUUACGAUGAGAAAGAGAAUGACAGAGGAGAGAGCUCAGAUCGAUUCUCAGGGCAUCAGUUCAGUAACUAUAGCUCUGAGCUGAACGUGAGUGUCUUGGAGCUGGUGGACUCUGCCCUAUAUCUCUGUGCCAGCAGCUUGGCACAGCCCUGCAUGAUCAGCAGCCUACAGAACAAAAACAUUCCUGUCCCAGCUCAGGAAAUGACACCAAGGGUGGCGGCUGCCAGACAGACAGACUCAGCCCCUCAUAUAUCAGACAGGCUUUCCCCUGACACUCUUCCUGCUGUUUCUGAGGUCAUCGGCAGCUCCGAGCAGCCAUCAGCUUGUCACAGAGAAAGGUCAGUCACAGAUGUGAGGUUGCUCUGCUUGGUGAUGUCCAGCCCGAAACCCUGGAAGCAAGUGCUCUGGCAAAUCUGA